UAAGAAAUCGACGAUCAGGGAUUUUGGUGAAUAAAAUCGAUAUUAAAAAUAGUAAUAAUAGAAGAGAUGAUAUUGUUUGUGAUCUAUAUGUGUUGGUUUAUGAAUAAGAAUGUGAUAAUGUAUAUGAUUUGUAUAAAUGGUGUGUUCGGAGGAAAUGUUAUGUAAUAUGAUAUCUGAUAUAUGGUGUGAUGGGUGGAAAUGAUACACGAUAUGUGACGUGAUGUGAGGGAUUAAUAUGUAAUAUGUGGUGUGACGAAGGAUUUGAUCAGCCCAAUGUGGGUGCAUUUUGCUUUGCACACAUACCUGUGUUUAUCGCUAAGCAGACUUGGGUAAUAAGUGAAAAUAUUUGAUAAUGUCAAUUAUAAUAUAUUUGAUUAUGUGUAUAUGAUUAUGUGUACAUUAGCCUGUGGAUAAUAUAUAUGUUUGAAAGGUGAUAUUGUUGUUAUAAGAAGGUAAAUAUGUGAAUUGGUUGAUACUUGAUAUAGUUGAAUAUGCAUGCCCUUAAAUGGGUUAUAUGUGCUAUCGAGUCGAGCUGUGUGCUGUGAAUGAAAAUAUAAAUUCUGUAUGGAUUAUAUGUGUGUUUGGAAUCGGUCAAUAUGAAUUAUGAUGUGAUGUGAUAAAGAUAUAAGCUGAGUAUUUGUCCUUGAUAAAAGAUAUGUGAUACAAAAUGUGAUCUGACUAGAAAUGUGAACUCCGUAAGAACUAUGUGUGCGCUUGAAGACGAGCUAAACAAAUAUGGAAAUUUAAAUGAGGAUUUAUAAAUGGAAUGGAAAAAUGAAAAUGGGUGCAUAUAUGUGAUAAUAUAUAUGUUGUGAGAAUGUAGGUGAUUUGUGUGUGUUUCGAUAUAUGAGAAUGUCGGUUAUAGCAAUAUGUAUAUAUUAUUUUUUUAUGUAAGAACGUUGUUGAUUGGUAUAUGUGUCACGAUAUAUGAUAAUAUAUAUGAUUUGUAAACGUGUUGGCGUGUUGAUAAUGUGUUAUAUUCUUUAAAUUUAACUUGACAAUCUGUGUAGGCUGUCGUCAAGUUGUGGAUUUUACUAUGUAUCAUAUUCUAUGAAGUUGGUAAGUUGAUAUGACUAUGACCUUGGCAAGUUCUAGGAAAUGAAAGAUAGAAUAAUGAAGUUAUACCAGGUUAUAAUAAAUUAAUGAUGUUAUAUGAAGAUACGAGGGACAUGAUAAUAGAGAUUAGAUGACAUGGUACGAUAAAUGUCUAUAACUAUUUAGAUCAUGUAAAAUUUCGAGGACGAAAUUUUUUUUAGGAGGGUAGAGUUGUAACACCCCAAAGAAAUGACCUUAGUUGGAAAUUGAUUUUCUGAUUAGAAAAAAAAAACGGAGAAUCAGGACUCUUGUCGAAUAAUUCGAUAUUGAAAUUAGUGGUGAUUAAUAAUAUGUUUAAAAUGUUAUGAGAGUGAAGAUUUUGAAAUAGUGCAUGAAUUAUAAAGAAUGGAAAUGAUAUUAGAAACUAGUAAAAAUUAUCUGUAACAUGUUUUCGCAUAUUAAUUCGAAAUCAAGAAGGAAAUAAAUUGAAAUAUAAAAGUACAUGAUUAGAAAGUGAUUAAAUGAAAGUUAAGUGUUAGAAAAUAAUAUGAGGUUGGAAAUGGAGAGAUUAGAAGAAAUACAUUAAGAAGUGUAAAACUUGUCUAUCAGAUUUUCGGUGAUUGUUUCGACGGCGAAAAAGGCCAAAUUAAAUAAGAAUUAUUCUUGAAAAUUAAUUAGAGGUAUUGUACCAUUAUAAUUAAGUUUUACAAGCAUAAUAUGGGUAGAAGAAGUUAGAAGAAAUUAAGGAUUAGAUUAGUGUUAAUAUAAAAUUUAAUGUUGAUGGGAAAAUGGUAAAAUCACAUAAAAUAAACCAAUUUAUUUACCUAAAUUGUGGAGGGCCGAGACAUUCCAUUCAGCUUGAAGAGAAAGGUCUAGAAAUUUGAAAAUACAAAUGAGGGAAUUAAUGGAGACAAAUGGCUAAAUAUUGUCCACAAUUUAUUUUAAUUGUUUGAGGAUCACUUUUAAGCAUCAAAAUGGGCAUUCUUCUUCCUCAUUUCUUCUCCCACAAAAAUAUCGACAGCCCCUUUUCCUCCCCCCUUAACCAAUUUCUUCACAAAAUCCCAUCUUUAUUGAUGAAUCGAUGAAGCAAUUGCAUGAUUGGACUAUUUGGAGGUUAUUCAGCAUUGGAGAGUACUAGUUGAGGUUUCUUAAUGUCCGUCUCAGCACUGCAUCCUUGCGGGUCACUGAGCUCUAUUACCGAUAGGUCAUUCGAAUGGUUAGUUGUGGCAUGUUAGCACUAAAUAUUGUAUUAAAUAACUUCCACUGUAAUUGUAAAUUUAAUGAUUUAAAUAGUUGAGUUUCGAAUGGUUCAGAAAUAUGAAA